UUGAUUUUCUCCUUCAAAAUGAAAGGCAAUCUUAAUGAUUGCAAUGUGAAAAGGACAUUUAGAAUCUAAAUUGAUAGUGAUGUCUCUGAAGUGACUGCCUCAUCAGGAAGGAUGGAGAAAAAAGAAAAAAAAAAAGAAAAGCACAUAAAAGUGUCUUGAAGAAAUUAUGUCCUAAUGCUACUUUAGAAGUUCUGAGAACCAUCUAAAGCCCCUGCUUUAAUUUUGAUUGAAAGGUAAAAUUUAGCAUUUAAUGGUUUAAGGUUGGAAAACAUUAAGCUGGUGCAGCUUAUUUCUCUAAUGCCUAAGACUCCAAUUAAUACACAACAAAUACAGAAAGUGUAUUUAGAAUACCUGUCCAAUUUAUGUUCCUUUUCUGAAUAUUAUUUCCUGCUACCUUCAAGGAGGAACUUUUCAGAUUGAACAAGGUGGAUGGACAUUGGUCAAAGUUGAGCCAAUUAGAUGAUUUCUCCUAAGAAUGUGGAAUUGGGAAACAAUAUCUUGAGGGGUCCCAUUUGGAACAUGCAAGUGAGGCGGAAAGAAUAAAGCAAAGACAACUUAAUCCUACCUCAGAAGAAAAAGAAUGACUGCUUUGAUUUCUGUGCUUCCCUGAGCCACAUGACUUGCUUGUGGGGUUUACCUUGGAGCGUCUAGACAUCUAUCUAUAUGCUCCUCCAGCCGUGUGGGCGAUGCUCUUCACCUUGUGGCUUUGGCCCUUCAAAGGUUACAUUUGCUGCAUGGAAGAGCAGUUGGCUUUGCCGAUAGGGAAUGUCUCAUUGCACCCCUUUUCCACGCCAUCUGUCUGACCUGGAUCCAUUCCAAACACCACGGCUUUGCUGGCAGAAUGGUCUUCCUGCUACAGAAGUUUUGUAAUCUGCUAAUUGACAGGGAAUCCGUGUUUGUGCUUGGUCACGCGCUCUCCCCUGUGUUCUCUGCCUCAUUGAGAGUAUGGCAUCCUUUGGAGAAGAACAUCAAUAUGAUCUACCAGGGAAUUAUCCUCUACUUAGUUUACUCAUUAAGCAAUGAUUUUAUUAUUAUUAUCUCUUCAUAGUACGAGACAGAUGGCAAAGAAGGAGUUUGCUUUAUUGAACAAGAUGUGGUAUUAGGCAUGGCAAAUCUCACCCAAUGGUUAUUACCUUCAGUAGUUGUCAGUCUAAUAGGCCUUUGUACAGGGCUUGGUUCUAUAUUUAGCUCUUAAGUUAAGGGCAAAGCUGUUAUCAAUUCUUUUUUUUUUUUUUUCCUUCUUCUUCUUCUCUCUCCUGCAUAUAGGUGGAGGGCAGAAGAAUUCUAGAGAAGCAAGUUUCAUUAAAAUCAUGCUGUUUAAGAUAACAUUUAUGGUUGUCCUCAUCUUGAAAUCAUGCUUUAAAGCUUAGUAGGAGCAAUCCCCAUUUAAGUGAGUGUGGUCCUGCCUAGGGAUUUGUAUCCAUGUCCCUAAGGUGAGGUCUUCUGCCCAGGAACCACAUGUACAUGUUGCAAGUGGUGCAUGAGUGUGGUGUGAUAUUGUGCCUCUGGACUCCACCAGCCCCUCUCUCAGUUGCAGCCCCUCAACCUGCCCUCGAACAACAAUUGGCAGAAGGAAAGAUGAGAAUGAAAGAGAAUUUCUUCCAUCUUCCAUACCUUUGAAAACUUCAAAGUUGUUCCCAAUCUGGUUCUGAUGAUCCAUGUCUCAGUGCAAAGCAUACAUAAAGGUCUGAAAUCUGCACACUGAUCAGAAAUAGUUUUGGAAAGUCAGAUUUAAUCCCAUGAGCCAAAUGAUCACUACCAACAGCCAUCAGGGAAAACCAAAGUCCACAGCAAAUUUUAAUUUGGCAAAUGCAUAAAAGGUUCAAAAGAGCAGAGGUCUCAUUUACAUUCCUCCCUCUUAUAUGGGAUUUUCUUCUAUAUUAGUAAUUAAAGGGUGCAGGCUGGAGAGCGCAACUAUAUCGCAUAAUAGCCAUCGGGAACACACUAACAACUUCCUUGAAGUAACGCACACUAGGGUGUUUAUGGUUCAAUGUCACAUAGACUCUCUUUGAUCUAAAUUAGGAUUCAUUGGCAAACUCACAAUAGGCUCCACAUGUACCCCUCUCAACCUCUUUCUUUUAAUCAUGGAAAUUAGAGAUGGAAAAUAUCCAUUAAGUCACUUAGUCCAUUUCCCUGCCAGGGUGAAAUUGUUGCCUGUGAUAUGUGGGUAGUGCUUGGUCCAGCUUAAAUGUAAAUGUCUCAGGGGACAUGCAGGCUCCUGAUUUUAUAAUUUUCUUCUCUUCCCUUAAAAUUCAGAGGGGGAAGAAAUAGAAACCAGAGGUAGAAGUUUCCUCCCUUCCUAUGACUAUGACUUGGAGGUAAUGGUGGUGGGGUGGGCAAAUGUGCCCACCAGGGUAUCAGUGCUCUGGAAACCACACCUUUCCCUUGGGCAAUUCCAUUACUCAAAAAGUGCAGAGAGAAAUGCAACCAGUGUCCCCAACCCUAUUCCUCUUCAGCUCAGUGGAAUGAUCGAUCUGGAUUCCUGAAUGUUUCCUGUCAACUUGAGUGAGUAAGCACUCCAGGUUUGGUGAGGAUGAGGCCCACGAGGGGAGAAACUGCCUCUUUAGGUUCCCUGUUGACUAGCCACAAACUGCACAGGCCUCCUGAUUGGAGGAUGAAGUCACUGAUUUAGUGUGAGCUCACGAUUGGACCAUUGCCUAUCUUAUUCUGAGUGGCCCAAUAUUUUUAGACUUUGAGCAUUUGGCAUUGAAAGAAAUGUGUGUCAUUGCACAAUGAAUGCUCUCCCUGACACAUGUUCAGCAACAGAAGGAAGCCUCUCGCUCAGCAUCUGCCUACAUCUGCAGCUGUGGAGGUUAGUUCUGUGGAAAAGUUGCAAAACCCACUGACCGUUUCUCUAGUGGG